rnacentral:rRNA from 1 species
GGGGUGCUCGAGUGGCGAACGGGUGAGUAACACGUGAGUAACCUGCCCUUGACUUUGGGAUAACUUCAGGAAACUGGGGCUAAUACCGGAUAGGAGCUCCUGCUGCAUGGUGGGGGUUGGAAAGUUUCGGCGGUCGGGGAUGGACUCGCGGCUUAUCAGCUUGUUGGUGGGGUAGUGGCUUACCAAGGCUUUGACGGGUAGCCGGCCUGAGAGGGUGACCGGCCACAUUGGGACUGAGAUACGGUCCAG